AUCACUGUUCAUAUCGAACACACCCGAUUUUAUUUUUCCCAUAAUUCUUUGCAACGUGCUUGGCCGACGCUAACAAUAGGCGCUAAGUUAUACCCGGCCGAGCUGUCCAGCGAUAAAGACGUGCUUAGUGUUAGAAGGGGGUAUCGUGGUAGAAGCCUGUGUGGCAUGUUUUAGUUUCACAAGUUCAGCAUUUGACGCGGACACGGAUAGCUGACCGUGUGUCAUAUUGUUGAUGUUGAGAAGAUGAUGAUGUUAUGGUGAUGACGAUGAUGUCUUUUGUGAUUAUGGUGUUGUAGGCGAUGGUGUUGACGAUAGUGUCGAUGAUUAUGAUGGCGAUGGUGAUGAUGAUGAUUGUGGUGACGAAACUACUCUAGUUGUGGUUGUCCGUAGUUGGUCCAGGACUACAGCCCCGGAGAUUCGGACACUCUUCUAAUUUAUUUUUGGUCAUUUGUAUAAACAUCAUAUUUUUUCUUGUUGAGUGAAAGUUGUGUGAGUGUUUGUGUGGUUUAGUGUUUAUAUUUCUAUCUUUUCUUUCUUUCUCUUAUUUUUUUUGUUAUUAAAUUUUGUUAAAUUUAA